rnacentral:rRNA from 1 species
GAGUUUGAUCAUGGCUCAGGAUGAACGCUGGCGGCGUGCCUAACACAUGCAAGUCGAACGAAGCAUAUAGAAGGAAGUUUUCGGAUGGAAUUUUAUAUGACUUAGUGGCGGACGGGUGAGUAACGCGUGGAUAAUCUGCCUUACACAGCGGGAUAACAAGUGGAAACAGUUGCUAAUACCGCAUAAGCACACAGUAUCGCAUGAUACAGGGUGAAAAGAUUUAUCGGUGUAAGAUGAGUCCGCGUCCCAUUAGCUAGUUGGUGAGGUAAAAGCUUACCAAGGCGACGAUGGGUAGCCGGCCUGAGAGGGUGAACGGCCACAUUGGGACUGAGACACGGCCCAGACUCCUACGGGAGGCAGCAGUGGGGGAUAUUGCACAAUGGGCGAAAGCCUGAUGCAGCGACGCCGCGUGAAGGAUGAAGUAUUUCGGUAUGUAAACUUCUAUCAGCAGGGAAGAAA